rnacentral:rRNA from 1 species
AGAACGAACGCUGGCGGCAUGCCUAACACAUGCAAGUCGAACGCGUGACUUCGGUCACGAGUGGCGCACGGGUGAGUAACGCGUGGGAACCUGCCCCGAGGUGGGGGAUAACCGAUGGAAACGUCGGCUAAUACCGCAUACGACCUAAGGGUGAAAGAUUUAUCGCCUUGGGAGGGGCCCGCGUCGGAUUAGCUAGUUGGUGGGGUAACGGCCUACCAAGGCGAUGAUCCGUAGCUGGUCUGAGAGGAUGAUCAGCCACACUGGGACUGAGACACGGCCCAGACUCCUACGGGAGGCAGCAGUGGGGAAUAUUGGACAAUGGGCGCAAGCCUGAUCCAGCAAUGCCGCGUGAGUGAUGAAGGCCUUAGGGUUGUAAAGCUCUUUCGGCGGGGACGAUGAUGACGGUACCCGCAGAGAAGCCCCGGCUAACUUCGCGCCAGCAGCCGC